GCCGGUGUAGCUCAAUGGCAGAGCAGCUGCCUUGUAAGCAGCAGGUUGCGGGUUCGAAUCCCAUCGCCGGCUCCA
rnacentral:tRNA from 1 species